CAGUGGGAGAACAUAGGACUUGCAUUGUGAAAUCCUUGGUUCAAUCCCUGGCACCACCCAGAGUCAGAGCUGGGUCCUCUGGUCUCUGCUACAUAGAAAUACAAAAGUAAAUACAUUAAAAAAAUGAGAAUGAGAGAGGGGACUUCUGGAGGCAUGGCUAUGCAGUCACAGUCUCACUUCCCUCUCCCUGAUCAACUAAUAAAAGGAAUGGAAAUCACCUGAAAACUCAACAAAAUCCAAUGAGGAUGUCUUCAGAAACUCACUAAGCCAAGGAAGGAAGAAUUGACCACACUGGACCUCGGACGUGAAUCAUAUGGGGGCUAGGGAUGUCACCUCCCCCCUCUGUGGUCACAGAUCCAUGGAGAGCUCUGAGAUUUGCCGUGUGUCCUCUGCUGCAGUCUGCUGUGGGCUGGAAGCCUCACCAAGAACAUGAGUGUCACACGUUGUGUGUCUCCUGUAUCAUUCUCCUGCCACAAAGCCAGCGAGAGACAAGAAAGCCUUCCUAAGGAACAGAACACGCUCUAUUAGCCGUGUCCACAGCCAGCAGGAAUGUCCUUCAGCAGAUAAUGUGUUCUUAUUGGGGGAAAAAAGUCCAAAAAUCCACUUCAAAAAGCCAAAACAACCAAAGAGAAGUCAACCUGUAGACCACAUCAAAAAAGGAGGUGUACUUUCCAGAAAACCUUUAGCAAAAGGAAGAGGCAGCCUUGCUUCUGGAGUUCUUGAGGUCCAGCUCAUGGCUCACGGGUGAUGCCACAUGAAGGCUUGACAGUCCUAAGAGAUGAGGCCUCAAGUAUUCUUACUUCUCAUGGAAAUAGAAAACAAACAGGCGAUGAUGUGAGCUGAGGCUGUGUCAUGGUGCCCCUGGCUGAGUGGAGACCAAGAGCUUGAACCCAGAUCCUUGAGCACUGUGACAUCUGCACACUGGGAGAUGUCCCACUGCCUGGCCCCACUUGAGGUAUUUAGAGAGAGAGCUUCCCCUGGUGCUAUGGAACCUCCCAUGUAGUGCAGGGGCUCAAAUGCUGGCCAUGCACACAGCAAGGCAUGCUGUCACCAGCCACCAAGUCGCAGAUACUACUCUGAUUUCAUCCUGACUUCCCUGGGCAGACAACCUCCCUAAUGUUUCAUGGAACCUCAAUUCUUCAGAGCCCUGCCCCACUAGGGAAAGAGAGAAACAGAUUGGGGGUAUGGAUCAACCUGCCAACACCCAUGUCCAGCAGAGAAGCAGUUACAGAAGUCAGAACUCCCUCCUGCACUCCAAAAAGAAUUGUGGCCCAUACUCCCAGAGGAGUAAACAGUAGUAAAGUUUCCAAUGGAGGGGAUGAGACAUGGAAUGCUGGUGGUGGUGGGAACUGUAUGGAAUUAUAACCCUAUUAUCUUGCAAUUUGUAAAUCCAUAUUGAAUCAAUAAUAAUAAUAAUAAUAAGAAGAAGAAGAAGAAGAAGAAGAAGAAGAACCCUUUAAAGUAGUUCUUUGACAAAACAUUGAUUUCAUGGGAGGGCAUCUGAAGGCUGGAAAGAGUUGACCCUUCAAAAAGCGAUUUGUGGGGGUCAGGCAGUGAGUGGCACACCUGGUUGAGCACACACAUGACCAUGUGCAAGGACCCAGGUUCAAGCCCCAGUUUCCACCUGCACGGAGAAGUUUCCUGAGCAGUGAGGCAAUGCUGUGGGUGUUUCUCCCUCUCCAUCUCCCCUCUCUCUAUCUCCUAAAUAAAUGUAAUAAAAAAUAAUUUUAAAAAAUGCUA